GAUGUGUUGGUUGUUGAAAGCUGUUCUGUUAUUCUCUGGCAAUUGGAAUCAGUAGGCACAGUGCUUCCACUAAUUGAUUCUAAAUUCUAGAUUCUAGGAAGAGAAUUUACUGGCCAAGAGCUUCAGGGAUAACUAUAGCCCUUCACUUCCAUCUAGAGUUGGAGACAGAUGACGCUGCUUUUAAGAACUUAGGUCUGCUGCUACCUCUGGCUCAGAGAGGGCUUUGUGGUUGUUUUGAUAUACUGGUGAGCUAGACUAAAGAGUCAUUCUGGAUGAUGUGUUUCUUGUGGAACUAGACAAUACAAAAUCCAAGUGACUAGUGAAUAGCUGACCCAUCUGGUCUGUCUAGCUUAAAGACAGCCAGUUUGAAAACCUUUAUAGUUCUCUAGUGAGAGAGAAUAGUUCUAGAGAACUAUUAUUCAUAUUAAGGACUAACACUUUAUAUGGUGAUGGAUAACUAAAAGAAUUUGUUAAAGCUACAUUCAAGGAGAGAAAAGGAUUUGGGCAACAAAGAGUGAUAAGAUUCAAUAGUCAAGAAGUGAGCAAAGAAGCACUUUUAUGUGAAACAGCUGCUCUUAAAUGGAUCAAUAGCACUAAAGUCUGUAAUUCAAAAUUACAGUUACCUCUAAGCAUGAGUUUUCCACCUUUAUUAACUUCCUUGUAAGAUUUCUCUAAGUAUGUGCCCACUCAUUUGAGUGCAGUUUUUUAUAGACUAUGACAUAGGUUUAUAGGUAUAUUAUGUUACUUUUUGUCAUUCAGGCAUUUUAAUAUAUUAAUAUCGUAAUAUUCUUUAUUUUGCUUUUUUUAAGUAAAUGACUGUUUAAGAUCUAACAGUUUCAUUAUUGUGAAAUGUAGGUGUAAUAAACAUCACUGUGUGGACGUUGUUUUGGGAGUGAUUGGUUGUAUAGUAGAAAAUGCUAGGGAUGAAAGUUUAAGAGUUAAGAGUGGUUAGAGAUGUAUAUUUCCCCUGGAUAGGGUUACUCCUUGAGAGAAUGCAAAUAUAAUUAUACGGUGGUAGUCUAUCUCCAACCACUUCAAUAUUAAUAAUGUGAGAGCAGGUUGGAGGGUGUAAGUCAAAACCAAAGACAUAACACUGGGUAUAUGUUUAUUCAUCUACUUUGUCUGCAGCCUGACUAUAAGGCCGCUUGCAGCAUUAUACUUAGGUUAGAUCACGCAAUGCAGAAGCUGCCAGGGACAACCCUUAACAAGUCUUAGACAAACACCAUAUAUAUCAUGUUGGUAACUGGUGAACUAAACUACAGUUCGCUCCUCCGGUAGCACAUUUGGUUAUUUAUACAGCUAGAGGCGGAGGUCUGAAAGGCGCUACAUACAAGAAAGAGAUAAUAUCUGAAACAGGAACAGCAUUCCAUUUAACUAAACAUUGACUAAAGAGCUUACACAAUAUAUCAAAGUGACAUACAGCAAUGUGUUGAGUAUUGAUGCAAAAGGAGUCACUCCAAUGCCUCCAGCCACGCACAAGCUGACCUCAUAAUUCAAUGAUUCUUCAAAGGGACUCCCAAAGGGUCCAUCAAUGUACAGCCUGCAGAGAAGAAAGUGAUGUAGAAGUCAUAAACAAGAAAAAAUAAAUUUAAAUCUGCUUGACAUCUGCAAUCAAACAUUUUAUUCCUUCACCUCAAGACAGCUACAACCUUAGUCCAAUAUUUAGAAACCUGAUCAACCCACAAGGGCAAGAGAUAUUAUUUCCAAGUUUGUCCAUUUUGAAAGGGAUCAUUAAUCAAGAAUAUGGAGAGAGGGAAGGUAAAGGAGCUAAUGAGGCACUGAAACUGCAAUGUCACUUAAUACUUUACAAAUACUAUUUCAUUUGAGCCUCAAAACAUUCCUGCAAGGUAAACAAGGGGCAGCUUGUUAAAAUCCAAAUGAAUCCAUCAGCAUGAAUGAGAAAAAUCCACAAGACAAGAGCAGGGAUUAGCCUGACAAACUAUCUGCCUGUGUCAACACAAUGUGUCAAAGAAAAUGAGGCUCCAGGAGACACUGAUCCGGACAGCUUAUCGUUUGUACUCUUCCAACAACUCCCUGGUGACAAAAAGGCUACACUUACAAGUGCAGCUUCUUUCCUUUUGACAUGGUUGUGAGGAGCUCAAAACCAAUUUUAUGGAGUUAAUCUGAAAACUGCCUGGAGAGUUGAUCCCUAAAAUAUUUAUGAGGUUAUGGGGUUUGUCAUUCCCUUUUCAGAAAUUUUAAGCAAAAAUAAAAUACCUUACUUUCUUAGGGAGGUCAUUUCAUACCUUCCCCAACCCUCAUCCCUAAAGAAUUAUAUCACUUACUUAGGAUAGUUCCUUGGCUGGAUGAAGGGCAGAAUUUCUGAAUCUUGUCCAGAUGGAGGGAGCAACAAAUCUCGAAACCUUUCUGCCAAAACAAAAAGACAUUAAAAUGUAGGGAGGUGGAGAAGGAUUUCAAAUCAUGGCAAUAAUUAAAAAUAAAAUCUUUUUCCUAAAAUAUUUUUAAUGAAAGAGGGAGAUAAUUCAUGUAGGAUAUCAUUUAUGACAUCAUUUCACAGAUCAUUUAUUAGAUAUCAAAGUGGAGAAAGCACAGAACUUGGAGUCAAGAAAACCUGAGCUUAAAUCCUACCUCAGAUACUAGGUAUGU